rnacentral:lncRNA from 1 species
UUUCAGAAUUUCAGCAUUUCUUAUUUGAAAUUUUGAUUUCAAAGGCGCUCUAUACUUGCCUUUUCAGGUCUCGCCGUAAUGGCCUUAAGCUUCGUUUGGAAUUGCAGAAAGAUUGCGUUACGUGCAAUGAGAAAUUACUAAAUAAAAAUACCCUAUUUGUUUCCGUACGUAAUAUUAUAUUCCGCAUAUCGCGAUAAAUCGGUUAUUAUAUACUUUCUACGGUUCUACUUGAGAACGCAGAAGUAUAUUACUAUAUAUUUUUAUCCCAACUCCAUUUUAUCUAAUAGCCUCAGAUAAACUUCAAUACCAAACUAGGUCUUAUACUUGCUUGCUUUUAAAUUUCUCAACAUUUCUUAUUUGAAAAUUGAAUUUUAAAGGUGCUCUAUACUUCCCUUAUCCGAAAUAGCCUUUAAUACGUCCCAUCGUACCAAAGCUAAGGUGGUGUUUGGUUGUCUGUAAAAACACCCUGAAAAUUUUUUUUCCAUUGAAAAGUAAUUUUCUCUUGUUUUGUUGCUUGUAAAAGUAGUUGCCGGAAAAAAAAUUUUACGAAUUCUGUGUAAAAACCCAACUUUUCGUUUUCUGCCCACCGCGAGCGGAAAACGAAAACUUGAUCCCAAAGUCAGGGCUCACGGCGUUGAAAAGAAUG